rnacentral:rRNA from 1 species
AACACAUGCAAGUCGAACGAAGCACUUAAUGAGAUUUCUUCGGAUUGAUUAUUUUGUGACUGAGUGGCGGACGGGUGAGUAACGCGUGGGGUAACCUGCCCCCAGACCGGGGGAUAACAGUCGGAAACGACUGCUAAUACCGCAUAAGCGCACAGUGCCGCAUGGCACAGUGUGAAAAAACUCCGGUGGUCUGGGAUGGACCCGCGUCCGAUUAGUUAGUUGGCGGGGUAACGGCCCACCAAGACCGCGAUCGGUAGCCGACCUGAGAGGGUGACCGGCCACAUUGGGACUGAGACACGGCCCAGACUCCUACGGGAGGCAGCAGUGGGGAAUAUUGCACAAUGGAGGAAACUCUGAUGCAGCGACGCCGCGUGAGCGAAGAAGUAUUUCGGUAUGUAAAGCUCUGUCAGCAGGGAAGAUAAUGACGGUACCUGACCAAGAAGCCCCGGCUAACUACGUG